rnacentral:rRNA from 1 species
AGUGAACGCUGGCGGUAGGCCUAACACAUGCAAGUCGAACGGCAGCACAGUAAGAGCCUGCUCUUACGGGUGGCGAGUGGCGGACGGGUGAGGAAUACAUCGGAAUCUACUUUUUCGUGGGGGAUAACGUAGGGAAACUUACGCUAAUACCGCAUACGACCUACGGGUGAAAGCAGGGGAUCUUCGGACCUUGCGCGAUUGAAUGAGCCGAUGUCGGAUUAGCUAGUUGGCGGGGUAAAGGCCCACCAAGGCGACGAUCCGUAGCUGGUCUGAGAGGAUGAUCAGCCACACUGGAACUGAGACACGGUCCAGACUCCUACGGGAGGCAGCAGUGGGGAAUAUUGGACAGUGGGCGCAAGCCUGAUCCAGCCAUACCGCGUGGGUGAAGAAGGCCUUCGGGUUGUAAAGCCCUUUUGUUGGGAAAGAAAAGCAGCAGGUUAAUACCCCGCUGUUCUGACGGUACCCAAAGAAUAAGCACCGGCUAACUUCGU